rnacentral:rRNA from 1 species
UACGUAGGGUGCAAGCGUUAAUCGGAAUUACUGGGCGUAAAGCGUGCGCAGGCGGUGAUGUAAGACAGAUGUGAAAUCCCCGGGCUCAACCUGGGACCUGCAUUUGUGACUGCAUCGCUAGAGUACGGUAGAGGGGAUGGAAUUCCGCGUGUAGCAGUGAAAUGCGUAGAUAUGCGGAGGAACACCGAUGGCGAAGGCAAUCCCCUGGACCUGUACUGACGCUCAUGCACGAAAGCGUGGGGAGCAAACAGG